rnacentral:miRNA from 1 species
CUAUAUGGGUUAGUGCAAAAGUAAUUGCGGUUUUUGCCAUUAAUGUUGUGGCAAAAACCACAAUUACUUUUGCACCAACCUAAUAC